rnacentral:rRNA from 1 species
CGCGCAAAUUACCCAAUCCUGACACAGGGAGGUAGUGACAAGAAAUAACAAUACAGGGCCUUUCGGCUUUGUAAUUGGAAUGAGUUGAGUCUAAACCCCUUUGCGAGUAUCAAUUGGAGGGCAAGUCUGGUGCCAGCAGCCGCGGUAAUUCCAGCUCCAAUAGCGUAUAUUAAAGUUGUUGCAGUUAAAAAGCUCGUAGUUGGAU